UACUCUUCCCUAAAUCUAAGCAAACUCUUUCCUUAGUCCAAAUUGAAGUGGUGAAAGUCUAAACCUGAAAACCUUUACUUUAAUUCUAUAUUCAAUUCCCCUUAAAAUUAAGCACCUCAUGUACCCCAAUUCUAAAUUGAACUCAGUAUGUGCUGUGCACUUCCCUCCUGCCUGUCACCUGGUUACUGUGCACCUUGGCCGCAUCGGCCCUGAAGUUAUGC